GGCGAAGAGCAAGACACAGACAAGCCGGCAUAUGAUAAUCCCCCCCACCACACACUCCCGUGCGUUGACUUGAGUACUUUUGAACAAAAGAGCAGCAGGCCAACAUCAUUCGUGUUGUGUGACGAUACGAAAAGUAGUUGAUUUUCUGAACUAAAUUAGACAGCGCCUAAGAUGCCUUCCAUAAUAUACAAAUGUGCUUUACAUUUUCAUAAAGAAAGUGUAGUGCAAUAGUGUACAUUGAGUGCAUCAGCGAAAUAAACCUGUUGCCAAGUAACUGUUGUCUCGUUUAGACAGUACUUCAAUCAGUUGGCGUCGGAAAGAGAGAGAGAGAGAGCGAAGUCUAAGCACAUGUUCAUAGAUCAAAUGCAGACAUAAGAUCCCAGGAUAUUCCGCCGUAGCUCCUCGUCCUAUCGGGAUUUCCAAGGGAUGUGCUCCUGCGGCUGGACUGUGGCAGCAACUGGCUGUCCUGCUGCAAGCCAUUGCCAUGAUACCGCUGCUGUGUGGCUAAGUCGACACUUGGCGUCCCAUCCACUGCAGCAGGGACCAAUGAUCGACUGAGAGCCGGGAAAUAAUGCCAGCAAACCACCAUUCAAACGCCGCCGAAUCAAACGCUGGGCUUCAGCUUCAAGACGCGUAAGCGCAUUCAAGGAUCAAGGACAUUUUUCUGAUCACGGUGGGACUUGGCACGACCCGAUCGGGCCGUAAAUUAUGGAGAAAUAGAAUAUAUAUGUCUGCGGUAAAUAUCCUUGAUCCUUGGUCCUCGAUAAGGACUCCAUUAAGUCAGGCCUCAAAUAACGGAGAAAAAAAUGGCUUGUAAUGGCCGUGAUCAGAAAAAUGUCCUUGAACCUUCGCCAAGGACUCCAACAGCCCCAAGCAUACAUAUUCAGUUUUCUCGGCUAUUUGUGAGCCGAUCUGGGCGGAUCAAGGAUCAUUCCUCAAUCAAAAAUAUAUAAUUUUCUCCGCUAUUUGUGAACCGAUCUGGGCGUGCCACGCCUUUUUGUAAUCGGAAUAAUUUACCCGAUACAGAAAACAGCAAGGAUGAUUUUUUUAAUAUUUGUAAUCAUCAAAACUUAGCUUAGUAUAAAUAAGUAAACAAGUGGAAAACAUUUGUAUCUACUACCUAAAUCCUUAAAUCUAACAAUAAUGAUAUAUAUCUAGAAUCUAGUAGCCCAUGUAACCUCUCCUUUGUUUGCCAAAGUCCUUGUUCUCGAUGGCCAGGUAGAAGGAUGACGACGGCUUAUAGGCUGGCUUAUGUGGACGCGUCGGUUGUCGAAGUCUGCUUUUUAGACUAGACAGGUAGUUAAGUGUAGUGUCAUACGACCAUUAGCGAUGGUUGAAUGAAAGAAAACAUCGCUGAAAAGCGACUAAUUUUUUCUUAUCAGAGAAAAAGCAGCUGACUUUGUGUAUGUAUGUUUAAAUAAGGAAUAAUUCGGAAAUUAAUAGUCAAAAUAUGCAACAAAAAAACACAUGACUUUUCAAAUAAAAAUAACAACUUGUAUUGAACAGAACAUUAAACAGAAUAAUACGUAUUUCUCAUCUCAAUUUUAACGGGAACAACAACGAAUUUUUGACUUUAAUAUAUGGAAUAAUAAUACAGUAGUGUUUCAUAUUGUAUGCACUAUUAUUAUGGGGCUAAAUUAUGUAUUAGGAGUUGAACUUGGACAUUGAAUUUGCAUCAGAAACGUCGCCGUCGGAGAUGGAUACGGAUAUUGGAGGCUUUCUGACCUACUCCCUCUACUUGGCAGUGUAGUUCUUGUGGACCUCAGGCGAAAUGUU